rnacentral:rRNA from 1 species
AGCCGCCGCGGGAAUACGAAGGGGGCUAGCGUUGUUCGGAAUUACUGGGCGUAAAGCGCACGUAGGCGGAUCGAUCAGUCAGGGGUGAAAUCCCAGGGCUCAACCCUGGAACUGCCUUUGAUACUGUCGAUCUGGAGUAUGGAAGAGGUGAGUGGAAUUCCGAGUGUAGAGGUGAAAUUCGUAGAUAUUCGGAGGAACACCAGUGGCGAAGGCGGCUCACUGGUCCAUUACUGACGCUGAGGUGCGAAAGCGUGGGGAGCAAACAGGAUUAGAUACCCGUGUAGUCCCUGUCUCUUAUACA